rnacentral:rRNA from 1 species
CAGUAGCCGCGGUAAUACGUAGGGUGCAAGCGUUGUCCGGAAUUAUUGGGCGUAAAGCGCGCGCAGGCGGAUAGGUCAGUCUGUCUUAAAAGUUCGGGGCUUAACCCCGUGAUGGGAUGGAAACUGCCAAUCUAGAGUAUCGGAGAGGAAAGUGGAAUUCCUAGUGUAGCGGUGAAAUGCGCAGAUAUUAGGAAGAACACCAGUGGCGAAGGCGACUUUCUGGACGAAAACUGACGCUGAGGCGCGAAAGCCAGGGGAGCGAACGGGAUUAGAUACCCGCGUAGUCCCUGUCUCUUAUACA